rnacentral:lncRNA from 1 species
UUCAACAACAAGUCCAUCCACAACUUCUGCAACUACAUCGUCACCAUCCACAUCAGCAACAAGCAGUCAAACAUCAAGUUCAACAGCAAGUCCAUCCACAACUUCUGCAACUACAUCAUCACCAACCACAUCAGCAACAACCAGUCAAACAUCUAGUUCAACAUCCACAAGUCCAUCCACAACUUCUGCAACUACAUCAUCACUAACCACAUCAGCAACAAGCAGUCAAACAUCAAGUUCAACAACAAAAAGUCCAUCCACAACUUCUGCAACUACAUCGUCACCAACGACAUCAGCAACAACCAGUCAAACAUCUAGUUCAACAUCCACAAGUCCAUCCACAACUUCUGCAACUACAUCAUCACUAACCACAUCAGCAACAACCAGUCAAACAUCAAGUUCAACAGCAAGUCCAUCCACAACUUCUGCAACUACAUCGACACCAACAUCAGCAACAACCAGUCAAACAUCAAGUUCAAGAACAAGUCCAUCCACAACUUCUGCAACUACAUUGUCACCAACAUCAGCAACAACCAGUCAAACAUCUAGUUCAACAUCCACAAGCCCAUCCACAACUUCUGCAACUACAUCGUCACCAACAGCAAGCAAUAACCAGUCAAACAUCUAGUUCAACAUCCACAAGUCCAUCCACAACUUCUGCAACUACAUCAUCACCAACCACAUCAGCAACAACCAGUCAAACAUCAAGUUCAACAACAAGUCCAUCCACAACUUCUGCAACUACAUCGUCACCAACAUCAGCAACAACCAGUCAAACAUCAAGUUCAAUAUCUACAAGUCCAUACACAACUUCUACAACUACAUCAUCACCAACCACGUCAGCAACAACCAGUCAAACAUCAAGUUCAACAUCAACAAGUCCAUCCACAACUUCUGCAACUACAUCGUCACCAACCACAUCAGCAACAACCAGUCAAACAUCAAGUUCAACAACAAGUCCAUCCACAACUUCUGCAACUACAUCAUCACUAACCACAUCAGCAACAAGCAGUCAAACAUCAAGUUCAACAACAAAAAGUCCAUCCACAACUUCUGCAACUACAUCGUCACCAACGACAUCAGCAACAACCAGUCAAACAUCAAGUUCAAGAACAAGUCCAUCCACAACUUCUGCAACUACAUUGUCACCAACAUCAGCAACAACCAGUCAAACAUCUAGUUCAACAUCCACAAGCCCAUCCACAACUUCUGCAACUACAUCGUCACCAACAGCAGCAAUAACCAGUCAAACAUCUAGUUCAACAUCCACAAGUCUAUCCACAACUUCUGCAACUACAUCAUCACCAACCACAUCAGCAACAAGCAGUCAAACAUCAAGUUCAACAACAACAAGUCCAUCCACAACUUCUGCAACUACAUCGUCACCAACGACAUCAGCAACAACCAGUCAAACAUCAAGUUCAAGAACAAGUCCAUCCACAACUUCUGCAACUACAUUGUCACCAACAUCAGCAACAAGCAGUCAAACAUCUAGUUCAACAUCCACAAGCCCAUCCACAACUUCUGCAACUACAUCGUCACCAACAGCAGCAAUAACCAGUCAAACAUCUAGUUCAACAUCCACAAGUCUAUCCACAACUUCUGCAACUACAUCAUCACCAACCACAUCAGCAACAAGCAGUCAAACAUCAAGUUCAACAACAACAAGUCCAUCCACAACUUCUGCAACUACAUCAUCACCAACCACAUCAGCAACAACCAGUCAAACAUCAAGUUCAACAUCUACAAGUCCAUCCACAACUACAUCGUCACCAACCACAUCAGUAACAACCAGUCAAACGUCUAGUUCAACAUCCACAAGUCCAUCCACAACUUCUGCAACUACAUCAUCACCAACCACAUCAGCAAUAACCAUUCAAACAUCUAGUUCAACAUCAACAAGUCCAUUCACAACUUCUGCAACUACAUCGUCACCAUCCACAUCAGCAACCAGCAGUCAAACAUCAAGUUCAACAGCAAGUCCAUCCACAACUUCUGCAACUACAUCAUCACCAACCACAUCAGCAACAACCAGUCAAACAUCUAGUUCAACAUCCACAAGUCCAUCCACAACUUCUGCAACUACAUCAUCACCAACCACAUCAGCAACAACCAGUCAAACAUCAAGUUCAACAUCUACAAGUCCAUCCACAACUACAUCGUCACCAACGACAUCAGCAACAACCAGUCAAACAUCAAGUUCAACAUCUACAAGUCCAUCCACAACUACAUCGUCACCAACGACAUCAGCAACAACCAGUCAAACAUCAAGUUCAAGAACAAGUCCAUCCACAACUUCUGCAACUACAUUGUCACCAACAUCAGCAACAACCAGUCAAACAUCUAGUUCAACAUCCACAAGUCCAUCCACAACUUCUGCAACUACAUCGUCACCAACAACAGCAGCAAUAACCAUUCAAACAUCUAGUUCAACAUCCACAAGUCCAUCCACAACUUCUGCAACUACAUCAUCACCAACCACAUCAGCAACAACCAGUCAAACAUCAAGUUCAACAACAAGUCCAUCCAGAACUUCUGCAACUACAUCGUCACCAACAACAUCAGCAACAAGCAGUCAAACAUCAAGUUCAACAUCAACAAGUCCAUCCACAACUUCUGCAACUACAUCGUCACCAACCACAUCAGCAAAAAGCAGUCAAACAUCAAGUUCAACAGCAAGUCCAUCCACAACUUCUGCAACAACAUCAUCACCAACCACAUCAGCAACAACCAGUCAAACAUCAAGUUCAACAUCAACAAGUCCAUUCACAACUUCUGCAACUACAUCGUCACCAACCACAUCAGCAACAAGCAGUCAAACAUCAAGUUCAACAGCAAGUCCAUCCACAACUUCUGCAACUACAUCGUCACCAACAUCAGCAACAAGCAGUCAAACAUCUAGUUCAACAUCCACAAGUCCAUCCACAACUUCUGCAACUACAUCGUCACCAACCACAUCAGCAACAACCAGUCAAACAUCAAGUUCAACAGCAAGUCCAUCCACAACUUCUGCAACAACAUCAUCACCAACCACAUCAGCAACAACCAGUCAAACAUCAAGUUCAACAUCAACAAGUCCAUUCACAACUUCUGCAACUACAUCGUCACCAUCCACAUCAGCAACCAGCAGUCAAACAUCAAGUUCAACAGCAAGUCCAUCCACAACUUCUGCAACUACAUCAUCACCAACCACAUCAGCAACAACCAGUCAAACAUCUAGUUCAACAUCCACAAGUCCAUCCACAACUUCUGCAACUACAUCAUCACCAACCACAUCAGCAACAACCAGUCAAACAUCAAGUUCAACAUCUACAAGUCCAUCCACAACUACAUCGUCACCAACGACAUCAGCAACAACCAGUCAAACAUCAAGUUCAACAUCUGCAAGUCCAUCCACAACUACAUCGUCACCAACGACAUCAGCAACAACCAGUCAAACAUCAAGUUCAAGAACAAGUCCAUCCACAACUUCUGCAACUACAUUGUCACCAACAUCAGCAACAACCAGUCAAACAUCUAGUUCAACAUCCACAAGUCCAUCCACAACUUCUGCAACUACAUCGUCACCAACAACAGCAGCAAUAACCAUUCAAACAUCUAGUUCAACAUCCACAAGUCCAUCCACAACUUCUGCAACUACAUCAUCACCAACCACAUCAGCAACAACCAGUCAAACAUCAAGUUCAACAACAAGUCCAUCCACAACUUCUGCAACUACAUCGUCACCAACAUCAGCAACAACCAGUCAAACAUCAAGUUCAAUAUCUACAAGUCCAUCCACAACUUCUGCAACUACAUCAUCACCAACCACAUCAGCAACAAGCAGUCAAACAUCAAGUUCAACAUCAACAAGUCCAUCCACAACUUCUGCGACUACAUCGUCACCAUCCACAUCAGCAACAAGCAGUCAAACAUCAAGUUCAACAGCAAGUCCAUCCACAACUUCUGCAACUACAUCAUCACCAACCACAUCAGCAACAACCAGUCAAACAUCAAGUUCAACAUCUACAAGUCCAUCCACAACUACAUCGUCACCAACGACAUCAGCGACAACCAGUCAAACAUCAAGUUCAAGAACAAGUCCAUCCACAACUUCUGCAACUACAUUGUCACCAACAUCAGCAACAACCAGUCAAACAUCUAGUUCAACAUCCACAAGCCCAUCCACAACUUCUGCAACUACAUCGUCACCAACAGCAGCAAUAACCCGUCAAACAUCUAGUUCAACAUCCACAAGUCUAUCCACAACUUCUGCAACUACAUCAUCACCAACCACAUCAGCAACAAGCAGUCAAACAUCAAGUUCAACAACAAGUCCAUCCACAACUUCUGCAACUACAUCAUCACCAACCACAUCAGCAACAACCAGUCAAACAUCAAGUUCAACAUCUACAAGUCCAUCCACAACUACAUCGUCACCAACCACAUCAGUAACAACCAGUCAAACGUCUAGUUCAACAUCCACAAGUCCAUCCACAACUUCUGCAACUACAUUGUCACCAACAUCAGCAACAACCAGUCAAACAUCUAGUUCAACAGCAAGUCCAUCCACAACUUCUGCAACUACAUCGUCACCAACAUCAGCAACAAGCAGUCAAACAUCUAGUUCAACAUCCACAAGUUCAUCCACAACUUCUGCAACUACAUCAUCACCAACCACAUCAGCAACAAGUAGUCAAACAUCAAGUUCAACAACAAGUCCAUCCACAACUUCUGCGACUACAUCGUCACCAACAACAUCAGCAACAAGCAGUCAAACAUCAAGUUCAACAACAAGUCCAUCCACAACUUCUGCAACUACAUCGUCACCAACCACAUCAGUAACAACCAGUCAAACAUCUAGUUCAACAUCCACAAGUCCAUCCACAACGUCUGCAACUACAUCGUCACCAACCACAUCAGCAACUUCAGGUGUUGAGCCAAUCUAUAUUGUUUCAGCAACUUUACCUCAAGAGAUUUUUCGAGAAGAACUCACUAACCCCAACAGCACAACAUACAAAGAACUUGAAAGUCGAGUAAUAGACACGUGUACACCUAUCUACACAAGAAAAUAUGGAAAGAGAUUUGUCCGCUGCUUUGUGAAACAAUUCCGCCGUGCUGUGCGUCUACAAGUACGAGAAGAUGCAACUGCAGCUGAUAUUGGGGUUGUGCUCCGCAACAAUAUCCCCAUUUCUGACCUCCCAAAUAAUGACGAAGUUGCUGAAACUUUAGUAACUGCAGCAAAUAGCAAUGAGACCUUAGGUGUGGUUCUGUCUGCAUCCUCGAUUCAAACUAUAUCUGGUCCAGUUCCUGCAACUGCAACAACCACAGUUGCAGCAACUACAAUUUCUGUCAUGACAACCACCACAUCUGCAGCUGUUACAACAACUUCAAGCGGAGUCAACCAGAACAUCACUGCAUUCUCUCUGGUACUGUUGUUAUGGUUACUGUCAAACCACCAAUAAAAUCCUGAUUAUUGUCAUUUAUUGACAGCAUCCAGCAACACUUUAAUAGCAGUGCGCAUAAUAAUAACAUAUAUGUUUAUGUUAUAUUGAAAACUGUUCUGCAUUCUCCUGAUUUAUAAAGUUAACAUUAUAGACCUCCUUUUUUACUAUGUUACAAUACUAUCACUGAGAAAAGAAAUGAAGUGAUAUAUGACAACAAUCACAGUUCUUGAAAUUAUCCAUUGAUGAGAAUUGUCUUUAUCUUGUAUUAUGUGUUUUGCCAUAUGUUCCUGUCUUCUCUUGGAAGUUAGGCAUGGUAGACUCAUGAGCAAAUGUAACAAAGAUUAGAGACAUUCCUUUCACAGGAUUGUUGUUGUUGUUCCAUUGUAAUCUCAGGAGUCAGUCAGGCAGGGGGUGUUAAACACCCAUCAUAAACGGGGCAUCAGGGUGGGGUUGAUGAUCUUAUUUGCAUAAAGAAUGGGAACUUUUAUCUGGCCACCUGGGAAGAUAAUGGAGAAGAAGGACUGUAUCAACACCAAAGGAGACGGGAAGAAGAGGACGAGGUCAUCCCAGCAGAGGAAUUGGAUUGGAUUGUAUGAACAUUGAGAAUUUGCAUGUGUGUUUCUAUAAAAGACUGGGCCAAGGGAUAGUUGCAGCACUUUUUGAAACGGGGAAACACAAAACACGGUGGUGAGACAAAAUGGAACCAAACGCGCAUAGGUGUGCAGAGCGCACAGUAAAGGCAAACUAAACAACAUAAUUGGGAUCGUAACACAACAAUUACCAUUGCUUCAAAACCAGCUGAAGCUCCAAUGACUAUUGACAAAUAAGGAACCAACAAUUUGGCUUUGGUUUGAAUCAAAGUGACUUUGAACACACCUACCUUGAAAGCUUAGUACCUGUCAAAUCACCAUGACAUCUUUGAACUUUAGUUGUUGUCAAUGAGCUAAUACAAUGGGUAUCUGAAUUAGCUCUAUGAUCUUGGGGUCCAGGCCCCAAGUGGCACAAAGGUCCUUUGUCUCCUACUGUCCUUCCCCACCUUCCUGUGCUCCUUCGUUUAAAUAUUGCAGAUUCCCAUCCUGAUUAUUACUAUUUGUCUAUAUUUGCAUCCAGCCUGAUCAUUACCUUUUGUUCAUUGUACGGUAACCCAAAAUGACUCACACUGUCAGUCAGUUCACCAAGGUGCGGUCUACUUUGUAACAGGAUCACACGCCAC